rnacentral:rRNA from 1 species
GAUGAACGCUGGCGGCGUGCAUAACACAUUCAAGUCGAACGAAGCAGCAAUGCUGAGUGGCGGACGGGUGAGUAACGCGUGAGCAACCUGCCUGUAAUUGCGGAAUAACACAGGGAAACCUGUGCUAAUACGGCAUAAAGCAGCGAUACCGCAUGGUAAAGCUGCCAAAGAGAAAUUGAUUACAGAUGGGCUCGCGUCUGAUUAGAUAGUUGGCAGGGUAACGGCCUACCAAGUCUGCGAUCAGUAGCCGGACUGAGAGGUCGAACGGCCACAUUGGAACUGAGAGACGGUCCAGACUCCUACGGGAGGCAGCAGUGGGGAAUAUUGGGCAAUGGACGAAAGUCUGACCCAGCGACGCCGCGUGAGGGAAGAAGGUCUUCGGGAUUGUAAACCUUAGUUAUCGGGGAAGAAGCAAGUGACGGUACCCGAAGAGAAAGCCACGGCUAACUACGUGCCAGCAGCCGCGGUAAUGUCAC